rnacentral:rRNA from 1 species
AGCGAACGCUGGCGGCAGGCUUAACACAUGCAAGUCGAACGCCCGGGCAACCGGGAGUGGCAGACGGGUGAGUAACGCGUGGGAACGUACCCUUUGGUUCGGAAUAACUCAGGGAAACUUGAGCUAAUACCGCAUAAGCCCUUUUGGGGCAAGAUUUAUCGCCGAAGGAUCGGCCCGCGUCCGAUUAGCUAGUUUGUGAGGUAAUGGCUCACCAAGGCGACGAUCGGUAGCUGGUCUGAGAGGAUGAUCAGCCACACUGGGACUGAGACACGGCCCAGCCUCCUACGGGAGGCAGCAGUGGGGAAUAUUGGACAAUGGGGGCAACCCUGAUCCAGCCAUGCCGCGUGAGUGCUGAAGGCCCUAGGGUUGUAAAGCUCUUUCGGCGGGGACGAUAAUGACGGUACCCGCAGAAGAAGCCCCGGCUAACUUCGUGCCAGCAGCCGCCGUAA